rnacentral:rRNA from 1 species
UACAGAGGUCUCGAGCGUUAGGCGGAAUCACUGGGCUUAAAGCGUGUGUAGGCGGAUCGGUAAGUCCCUUGUGAAAUCCCACAGCUUAACUGUGGAACUGCUUGGUAUACUGCCAGUCUUGAGCCACUUAGGGGCUACCGGAACAAAUGGUGGAGCGGUGAAAUGCGUAGAUAUUCGCAAGAACACCAGUGGCGAAGGCGGCUCACUGGCCCGGUACUGACGCUGAGGUGCGAAAGCGUGGGGAGCAAACAGG